CACAUGGCCGGUCUGGUCGGGGCGGCCCGGCUGCUGGCCGGGCAGCGGGACGAGCUGCCCGGGACGGUGGUGUUCAUGUUCCAGCCGGGUGA
rnacentral:tRNA from 1 species